AAUGGAACAUUCAAUGAUGUAAACGAUAUUCCUCUAGUUUAACUUAUAACUAUUUGACAUCUUUGAAAAAUGUUUCAACUCAAGAAUCUUCAAACAUCAUUUGGCACAAGGCGGUUCCGUUAAAAAUCAGUCUUUUUUGACUAUCUUGGUUCUGGACAAUUUGGAAUGAAAGAAACAGUCACAUUUCUUUAUCACAAGGAGUACUCUUUACAUCAAUUGUUAGACAUGAUCAAAGUUUAAACAUUUUCGUGGUUGAAAGCGAAAUAUUCUACUUUUACUUUUGAC
rnacentral:lncRNA from 1 species